CAGUAGCCGCGGGAAUACGGAGGGUGCAAGCGUUAUCCGGAUUUAUUGGGUUUAAAGGGUCCGUAGGCGGACUUAUAAGUCAGUGGUGAAAGCCUGUCGCUUAACGAUAGAACUGCCAUUGAUACUGUAAGUCUUGAGUAUAUUUGAGGUAGCUGGAAUAAGUAGUGUAGCGGUGAAAUGCAUAGAUAUUACUUAGAACACCAAUUGCGAAGGCAGGUUACCAAGAUAUAACUGACGCUGAGGGACAAAAGCGUGGGUAGCGAACAGGAUUAGAUACCCCAGUAGUCCCUGUCUCUUAUAA
rnacentral:rRNA from 1 species